rnacentral:misc_RNA from 1 species
UUUCCGUAGGUGAACCUGCGGAAGGAUCAUUCAUAAUAAAGUGUUUUAUGGCACUUUUUAAAAAUCCAUAUCCGCCUUGUGUGCAAUGUUAGAUCUCGUCAAUCUUGGCGAGAUUUUUAUACAUCAACUCAUUCUUUAACUAAUUUGUCUGAAAAAAUUAUGAAUACUUAAUUCAAAAUACAACUUUCAACAACGGAUCUCUUGGCUCUC